rnacentral:rRNA from 1 species
AUUGAACGCUGGCGGCGUGCUUUACACAUGCAAGUCGAACGGCAGCAUUGGUGGUAACACCAGAUGGCGAGUGGCGGACGGGUGAGUAAAACAUCGGAACGUGCCUAAUAGAGGGGGAUAACUGAUUGAAAGAUUAGCUAAUACCGCAUACUAUCUGAGGAUGAAAGCUGGGGAUCCGAGAGGACCUGGCGCUAUAAGAGCGGCCGAUGGCCGAUUAGCUAGUUGGUGAGGUAAAAGCUUACCAAGGCGAUGAUUGGUAGCUGUUCUGAGAGGAAGAUCAGCCACACUGGGACUGAGACACGGCCCAGACUCCUACGGGAGGCAGCAGUGGGGAAUUUUGGACAAUGGGGGGAACCCUGAUCCAGCAACGCCGCGUGAAUGAAGAAGGCCUUAGGGUUGUAAAGUUCUUCUAUCUGGGAGCAAAAGGUUAGUAUUAAUAGUGCUAAUUGUUGAGAGUACCAGGAGAAUAAGCACCGGCUAACUACGUGCCAGCCGCCGCCGUAACAC